GGUUUGGGGGUCCCAGAGUUUGGAGGAUCCAAGGUUUUGGGGUCCCCAGAGGUUUCAGGGUCUCAAGGUUUUGGGGUCCCAGGGGUUUCAGGGUCCCCAGGGUUUGGGGUCCAAGAUUUGGGGUCACUGGUUUCAAAGUCCCAGUUUGAGGUCCCAGUUUGGAGUGGGUCCCAGUUUGGGGUCACUGGUUUCAGGGUCCCAGUUUGGGGUCCCAGUUUGGGGUGGUUCCCAGUUUGGGGGUCACUGGUUUCAGGUUCCCAGUUUGGGGUCCCAGUUUGGAGUGGGUCCCAGUUUGGGGGUCACUGGUUUCAGGGUCCCAGUUUAGGGUCCCAGUUUGCGGAUCCCAGUUUGGGGGUCACUGGUUUCAGUGUCCCCGUGUGGGGUGUUCCCAGUUCAGGGUCCCAGUUUGUCCCAGUUUGCCCCAGUACCUGCCAGGAAGGCAUAUACAUGGUGUCAGGCACUGGGCUCCCAGUUUGGGGGUUCCCAGUUUAGCAGGGUCACUGGUUUGGGGUGGGUUCCCAGUUUGCCAGGGUCACUGGUUUGGAGGGGAUUCCCAGUUUGUCCCAGUUUGCCCCAGUUUGCCCCAGUACCUGGCAGAAAGGCAUGAGGGUGGCACCAGGCACUGGGCUCCCAGUUUGGAGUCACUGGUUUGGGGGGGGGGGCUGGGUUUUGGGGUCCCAGUUUGGGGUCCCUGUAUGUCCCAGUUUGUCCCAGUUUAUCCCAG